GAUCAAAUUGGCAGCGGCGACUCUGGACGCGUGCCGCUUCUCGCGGAUCUCCCCAGCUACGGUGCU
rnacentral:rRNA from 1 species